rnacentral:tRNA from 1 species
GCGAGAGUGGCGAAAUUGGUAGACGCACUGGAUUUAGGUUCCAGCGGGCAACCGUGAGAGUUCGAGUCUCUCCUCUCGCA